rnacentral:rRNA from 1 species
GACGAACGCUGGCGGCGUGCUUAACACAUGCAAGUCGAACGGUGAAGCGCCUUCCUUUUUGGUGGGUGUGGAUGAGUGGCGAACGGGUGAGUAACACGUGAGUAACCUGCCCCCUUCUUCUGGAUAACCGCAUGAAAGUGUGGCUAAUACGGGAUAUUCUGGGUCUGUCGCAUGAUGGGUCUGGGAAAGAUAUUGUUUCGGUGGGGGAUGGGCUCGCGGCCUAUCAGCUUGUUGGUGGGGUGAUGGCCUACCAAGGCGGUGACGGGUAGCCGGCCUGAGAGGGUGGACGGUCACACUGGGACUGAGACACGGCCCAGACUCCUACGGGAGGCAGCAGUGGGGAAUAUUGCACAAUGGGCGCAAGCCUGAUGCAGCGACGCCGCGUGAGGGAUGGAGGCCUUCGGGUUGUGAACCUCUUUCGCCAGUGAAGCAGGCCUGCCUCGUUUGUGGGUGGGUUGACGGUAGCUGGAUAAGGAGCGCCGGCUAACUACGUG